GUUGUAGCUCAGUGGUAGAGUGCUUGCCUAGCACACAUGAGGCACUGGGUUCAAACUUCAGCACA
rnacentral:tRNA from 1 species